rnacentral:rRNA from 1 species
CCUACGGGUGGCAGCAGUGGGGAAUAUUGGACAAUGGGGGGAACUCUGAUCCAGCGACGCCGCGUGAGUGAAGAAGGAUUUCGGUAUGUAAAGCUCUAUCAGCAGGGAAGAAAAUGACGGUACCUGACUAAGAAGACCCGGCUAACUACGUGCCAGCAGCCGCGGUAAUACGUAGGGGGCAAGCGUUCUCCGGAUUUACUGGGUGUAAAGGGAGCGUCGACGGUGCAGCACGUCUGAUGUGAAAGGUCGGGGCCCAACCCCGGGACUGCCUUGGAAACUGUUGAACUGGAGUACAGGAGCGGUAAGCGGAAUUCCUAGUGUAGCGGUGAACUGCGUAGCUAUUAGGCGGAACACCAGUGGCGAAGGCGGCUUACUGGACUGUACCUGCCGUUGAGGCUCGAACGCGUGGGGAGCAAACAGGAUUAGAUACCCUUGUAGUC